rnacentral:rRNA from 1 species
AGCGAACGCUGGCGGCAGGCCUAACACAUGCAAGUCGAACGAACUCUUCGGAGUUAGUGGCGGACGGGUGAGUAACACGUGGGAACGUGCCUUUAGGUUCGGAAUAACUCAGGGAAACUUGUGCUAAUACCGAAUGUGCCCUUCGGGGGAAAGAUUUAUCGCCUUUAGAGCGGCCCGCGUCUGAUUAGCUAGUUGGUGAGAUAAAGGCUCACCAAGGCGACGAUCAGUAGCUGGUCUGAGAGGAUGAUCAGCCACAUUGGGACUGAGACACGGCCCAAACUCCUACGGGAGGCAGCAGUGGGGAAUCUUGCGCAAUGGGCGAAAGCCUGACGCAGCCAUGCCGCGUGAAUGAUGAAGGUCUUAGGAUUGUAAAAUUCUUUCACCGGGGACGAUAAUGACGGUACCCGGAGAAGAAGCCCCGGCUAACUUCGUG